UCCAAGAUUUUUUUAAAAAUCACAGAAAUUAAAGAAAAAGGGGGAA
rfam:Chlorocebus sabaeus isolate 1994-021 chromosome 3, whole genome shotgun sequence.